rnacentral:pre_miRNA from 1 species
AGUGAGAUAGCUGGGUCAUAUGGUGGUUCCCUCCUUAGUUUUUUGAGGAAUCUCCAUACUGCUUUCCAGAGUGGUUGUACUAGUCUGCAGUCCCACCAACAGU